rnacentral:lncRNA from 1 species
CUUGAUUUGCGCCACUGCUAUUUUCGAUGAUAAAGCUGCAAAUUUGACACAAAAACAUGAGUACCACAAAAGGGUUGUUCUUAGUUUCUUGAAAAAGUGGAUAAUCAAGUGGGGUUUCUGUCAAUUACCUUGUGAUAUUGUAAAAAGCGAAGUGUACAACAAGAAGAAGAUAGUGGAGAGAGGAAGCUUAGAGAGUGCCAUAACUGAGGAAGAACUUGAGUUUCACCACUUCAUCUCCUGGUUCUGGUUCAGCUAAAGAUUCUUGCAUUAUCUUGUAGGGUCUUGUGGUUCUCUUUUAAGUGAAGUUUUUAGGUAGGUUCUGGUUUGUCUUUG